rnacentral:antisense_RNA from 1 species
CUUCACCGAGCCCAGCCACAACGGCUCCGCGUCCUCGGCGCGGCCUUGGCCGUACGUGGCGAGCAGUGCCUGCGCCUC